rnacentral:rRNA from 1 species
GACAGAGGGUGCUAGCGUUGUUCGGAAUUACUGGGCGUAAAGGGCUCGUAGGCGGCCAACUAAGUCGGACGUGAAAUCCCCAGGCUCAACCUGGGAACUGCGUCUGAUACUGGAUGGCUUGAAUCCGGGAGAGGGAUGCAGAAUUCCAGGUGUAGCGGUGAAAUGCGUAGAUAUCUGGAGGAAUACCGGUGGCGAAGGCGGCAUCCUGGACCGGCAUUGACGCUGAGGAGCGAAAGCCAGGGGAGCAAACGGG